CAAAUUUACUGUUAUCAGAACCCAAAACCUGAUUUUCUGAAUGGCACAAUAAAAAUUCCUAUGUGGGGAUGGUAUUAAGGUAUGGAUUAAGGUUGCCAAUUUAAUUUGCUGCUGUUUUCCAUUUAUCUUUUGAUCUGGUGCCUUCGUCUAGCAAAAUGUGCUUUUAUUAAAUGAUUCUGGCAAUUGGCUGCAAAAUGACCACAUUUCCUUCUUAGAACUAAUUUCAGUAGCAGAUUCCUUGAUCAAGGUUCUCACUUUAUUCUCUCAUUCAGUGGAGGAGGGAGCAAAGUCUCCAGGCAUCUGUUAG